UACGGAGGGGGCUAGCGUUGUUCGGAAUUACUGGGCGUAAAGCGCGCGUAGGCGGCUUUGUAAGUUAGAGGUGAAAGCCCGGAGCUCAACUUCGGAAUUGCCUUUAAGACUGCAUCGCUUGAAUCAUGGAGAGGUCAGUGGAAUUCCGAGUGUAGAGGUGAAAUUCGUAGAUAUUCGGAAGAACACCAGUGGCGAAGGCGACUGACUGGACAUGUAUUGACGCUGAGGUGGCGAAAGCGUGGGGAGCAAACAGG
rnacentral:rRNA from 1 species